UACGGCGAUAUUACGUUGAAACACAGGUUUCCUUACGAUAACCGAAGUUAAGCAACGUGAGCCUGUUUAGUUGCGAAAUGGGUGACCGCUUAGGAAUACCAGGUGUUGUA